AUUGAACGCUGGCGGCAGGCCUAACACAUGCAAGUCGAACGGUAACAGGAAACAGCUUGCUGUUUCGCUGACGAGUGGCGGACGGGUGAGUAAUGUCUGGGAAACUGCCUGAUGGAGGGGGAUAACUACUGGAAACGGUAGCUAAUACCGCAUAACGUCGCAAGACCAAAGAGGGGGACUCUCGGGCCUCUUGCCAUCGGAUGUGCCCAGAUGGGAUUAGCUUGUGUGGGUAACGGCGUCACCAA
rnacentral:rRNA from 1 species